CAGUCGCCGCGGUAAUACGAAGGGUGCAAGCGUUAAUCGGAAUUACUGGGCGUAAAGCGUGCGUAGGCGGUGAGUUAAGUCUGCUGUGAAAUCCCCGGGCUCAACCUGGGAAUGGCAGUGGAUACUGGCAAGCUAGAGUGUGUCAGAGGAUGGUGGAAUUCCCGGUGUAGCGGUGAAAUGCGUAGAGAUCGGGAGGAACAUCAGUGGCGAAGGCGGCCAUCUGGGACAACACUGACGCUGAGGCACGAAAGCGUGGGGAGCAAACAGGAUUAGAUACCCCCGUAGUCCCUGUCUCUUAUAC
rnacentral:rRNA from 1 species